rnacentral:rRNA from 1 species
CGGACGGGUGAGUAACGCGUGGGUAACCUACCUCAUACAGGGGGAUAACAGUUGGAAACGGCUGCUAAUACCGCAUAAGCGCACAGUGCUGCAUGGCACAGUGUGAAAAACUCCGGUGGUAUGAGAUGGACCCGCGUCUGAUUAGCUAGUUGGUGGGGUAACGGCCUACCAAGGCGACGAUCAGUAGCCGGCCUGAGAGGGUGAACGGCCACAUUGGGACUGAGACACGGCCCAA